UAGUUGGUGGGGUAAAGGCCUACCAAGGCGACGAUCAGUAGCGGGUCUGAGAGGAUGAUCCGCCACACUGGAACUGAGACACGGUCCAGACUCCUACGGGAGGCAGCAGUGGGGAAUUUUGGACAAUGGGGGCAACCCUGAUCCAGCCAUUCCGCGUGAGUGAAGAAGGCCUUCGGGUUGUAAAGCUCUUUCAGCUGGAACGAAACGGUACGUCCUAAUACGGUGUGCUAAUGACGGUACCAGCAGAAGAAGCACCGGCUAACUACGUGCCAGCAGCCGCGGUAAUACGUAGGGUGCGAGCGUUAAUCGGAAUUACUGGGCGUAAAGCGUGCGCAGGCGGAUUGUUAAGCAAGAUGUGAAAUCCCCGGGCUUAACCUGGGAAUGGCAUUUUGAACUGGCAGUCUAGAGUGUGUCAGAGGGGGGUGGAAUUCCACGUGUAGCAGUGAAAUGCGUAGAGAUGUGGAGGAACACCAAUGGCGAAGGCAGCCCCCUGGGAUAACACUGACGCUCAUGUACGAAAGCGUGGGUAGCAAACAGGAUUAGAUACCCUGGUAGUCCACGCCCUAAACGAUGUCAACUGGUUGUUGGGGGAGUGAAAUCCCUUAGUAACGAAGCUAACGCGUGAAGUUGACCGCCUGGGGAGUACGGUCGCAAGAUUAAAACUCAAAGGAAUUGACGGGGACCCGCACAAGCGGUGGAUGAUGUGGAUUAAUUCGAUGCAACGCGAAAAACCUUACCUACCCUUGACAUGUCCAGAACCCUGCAGAGAUGCGGGGGUGCCCGAAAGGGAAUUGGAACACAGGUGCUGCAUGGCUGUCGUCAGCUCGUGUCGUGAGAUGUUGGGUUAAGUCCCGCAACGAGCGCAACCCUUAUCAUUAGUUGCUACGCAAGGGCACUCUAAUGAGACUGCCGG
rnacentral:rRNA from 1 species